GACGAACGCUGGCGGCGUGCCUAAUACAUGCAAGUCGAGCGAGCGGCGGACGGGUGAGUAAUGUCUGGGAAACUGCCUGUUGGCGGGGGAUAACUACUGGACACGGUAGCUAAUACCGCAUACCAUCAGAUGUGCCCAGAUGGGAUUAGCUAGUGGGGGGGGUAACGGCUCACCUAGGCGACGAUCCCUAGCUGGUCUGAGAGGAUGACCGGCCACACUGGAACUGAGACACGGUCCAGACUCCUACGGGAGGCAGCAGUGGGGAAUAUUGCGCAAUGGGCGAAAGCCUGACGCAGCAAUGCCGCGGGAGUGAAGAAGGCCUUCGGGUUGUAAAGCACUUUCAGCGGGGAGGCGUUACCCGCAGAGGAAGCACCGGCUAACUCCGUGCCAGCAGCCGCGGUAAUUC
rnacentral:rRNA from 1 species